AUUGAACGCUGGCGGCAUGCUUUACACAUGCAAGUCGAACGGUAACAGGCCGCAAGGUGCUGACGAGUGGCGAACGGGUGAGUAAUGCAUCGGAACGUGCCCAGUCGUGGGGGAUAACUACUCGAAAGAGUAGCUAAUACCGCAUACGAUCUAUGGAUGAAAGCGGGGGACCGUAAGGCCUCGCGCGAUUUGAGCGGCCGAUGUCAGAUUAGGUAGUUGGUGGGGUAAAGGCUCACCAAGCCAACGAUCUGUAGCUGGUCUGAGAGGACGACCAGCCACACUGGGACUGAGACACGGCACAGACUCCUACGGGAGGCAGCAGUGGGGAAUUUUGGACAAUGGGCGCAAGCCUGAUCCAGCAAUGCCGCGUGCAGGAAGAAGGCCUUCGGGUUGUAAACUGCUUUUGUACGGAACGAAACGGCUCUGGUUAAUACCCGGGGCUAAUGACGGUACCGUAAGAAUAAGCACCGGCUAACUACGUG
rnacentral:rRNA from 1 species